rnacentral:rRNA from 1 species
AACGAACGCUGGCGGCAGGCCUAACACAUGCAAGUCGAGCGCCCUUUCGGGGGAGCGGCGGACGGGUGAGUAACGCGUGGGAAUAUGCCCUUCUCUACGGAAUAGCCUCGGGAAACUGAGAGUAAUACCGUAUACGCCCUGUGGGGGAAAGAUUUAUCGGGGAAGGAUUAGCCCGCGUUGGAUUAGGUAGUUGGUGGGGUAAUGGCCUACCAAGCCGACGAUCCAUAGCUGGUUUGAGAGGAUGAUCAGCCACACUGGGACUGAGACACGGCCCAGACUCCUACGGGAGGCAGCAGUGGGGAAUCUUAGACAAUGGGGGCAACCCUGAUCUAGCCAUGCCGCGUGAGUGAUGAAGGCCUUAGGGUUGUAAAGCUCUUUCAGCUGGGAAGAUAAUGACGGUACCAGCAGAAGAAGCCCCGGCUAACUCCGUGCCAGCCGCCGCAGUAA